UGGUUCUGGCAUCGAUGAAGAACGCAGCGAAAUGCGAUAAGUAAUGUGAAUUGCAGAAUUCAGUGAAUCAUCGAAUCUUUGAACGCACAUUGCGCCCUCUGGUAUUCCGGGGGGCAUGCCUGUUCGAGCGUCAUUACACCUCUCAAGCUCAGCUUGGAAUUUGGAACCUAUCUCUUAAUCCAGAUAGUUCGGAAAAUUAGUGGCGGAGUCAUCAGAACUCUUAGCGCAGUAAUUCAAUCUCGUUAACAGACUUCUGGUUUUUCCAGCCAAAAUUUGUCUAUUUACAAUAGCCACUCUUUUAUGGUUGACCUCGGAUCAGGUAGGGAUACCCGCUGA
rnacentral:misc_RNA from 1 species